rnacentral:rRNA from 1 species
CGGAUUGAAGGCUGAAAUUCGCCUUCCAUGAAGCCGGAAUUGCUAGUAAUGGCAGGUCAGCAUACUGCCGUGAAUACGUUCCCGGGCCUUGUACACACCGCCCGUCACACCAUGAGAGUUGGGAAUACCCGAAGUCAGUAGUCCAACCACGUGAGGACGCUGCCGAAGGUAGGAUUGGCGACUGGGGUGAAGUCGUAACAAGGUACC